rnacentral:rRNA from 1 species
ACGAACGCUGGCGGCGUGCUUAACACAUGCAAGUCGAACGGAAAGGCCCUGCUUUUGUGGGGUGCUCGAGUGGCGAACGGGUGAGUAGCACGUGAGUAACCUGCCCUUGACUUUGGGAUAACUUCAGGAAACUGGGGCUAAUACCGGAUAGGAGCUCCUGCUGCAUGGUGGGGGUUGGAAAGUUUCGGCGGUUGGGGAUGGACUCGCGGCUUAUCAGCUUGUUGGUGGGGUAGUGGCUUACCAAGGCUUUGACGGGUAGCCGGCCUGAGAGGGUGACCGGCCACAUUGGGACUGAGAUACGGCCCAGACUCCUACGGGAGGCAGCAGUGGGGAAUAUUGCACAAUGGGCGGAAGCCUGAUGCAGCAACGCCGCGUGCGGGAUGACGGCCUUCGGGUUGUAAACCGCUUUCGCCUGCGACGAAGCGUGAGUGACGGUAAUGGGUAAAGAAGCACCGGCUAACUACGUG